GACGAACGCUGGCGGUGUGCUUAACACAUGCAAGUGGUGCGACGAACCAGAGCUUGCUCUGGGGCAAAGCCGCGAACGGGUGAGUAACACGUGGGUAAUCUACCCCGAUGACCGGGACAACCCGAGGAAACUCGGGCUAAUACCGGAUGUGGUGCACAGGCUUAAGCCUGUUCACUAAAGGUAGCUUCGGCUUCCGCAUUGGGAGGGGCCCGCGGCCCAUUAGCUUGUUGGUGGGGUCAAGGCCUACCAAGGCAACGAUGGGUAGCUGGUCUGAGAGGACGAUCAGCCACACUGGGACUGAGACACGGCCCAGACUCCUACGGGAGGCAGCAGUGGGGAAUCUUGCGCAAUGCGCGAAAGCGUGACGCAGCAACACCGCGUGAGGGAAGAAGGCCUUAGGGUUGUAAACCUCUUUCAGAUGGGACGAAGGUGAUGCGGUGAAUAGCCGAUGUCAUUGACGGUACCGUCAGAAGAAGCUCCGGCUAACUACGUGCCAGCAGCCGCCGUAACAC
rnacentral:rRNA from 1 species